rnacentral:rRNA from 1 species
GACGAGGGAUCCUAGCGUUGUUCGGAAUCAUUGGGCGUAAAGCGGAUGUAGGUGGCUUUGUAAGUCAGGUGUGAAAGCCCCGGGCUCAACCUGGGAAUUGCAUUCGAGACUGCGUAGCUAGGGUGCGGAAGAGGGAAGCGGAAUUUCCGGUGUAGCGGUGAAAUGCGUAGAUAUCGGAAGGAACACCAGUGGCGAAAGCGCUUCCUGGUCCAGCACCGACGUUCAGGCACGAAAGCGUGGGGAGCAAACAGG